rnacentral:tRNA from 1 species
GACCAUAGCUCAGUUGGUUAGAGCGCUACCUUGACAUGGUAGAGGUCGGCGGUUCGAAUCCGCCUGGUC